GAGUUUGAUCCUGGCUCAGAUUGAACGCUGGCGGCAUGCCUUACACAUGCAAGUCGAACGGCAGCACGGGAGCUUGCUCCUGGUGGCGAGUGGCGAACGGGUGAGUAAUGCAUCGGAACGUAUCCUGGAGUGGGGGAUAACGUAGCGAAAGUUACGCUAAUACCGCAUAUUCUGUGAGCAGGAAAGCGGGGGACCUUCGGGCCUCGCGCUCUUGGAGCGGCCGAUGUCGGAUUAGCUAGUUGGUGAGGUAAAGGCUCACCAAGGCGACGAUCCGUAGCAGGUCUGAGAGGAUGAUCUGCCACACUGGAACUGAGACACGGUCCAGACUCCUACGGGAGGCAGCAGUGGGGAAUUUCGGACAAUGGGGGCAACCCUGAUCCAGCCAUGCCGCGUGAGUGAAGAAGGCCU
rnacentral:rRNA from 2 species